UACGUAGGGUGCAAGCGUUGUCCGGAAUUAUUGGGCGUAAAAGAGCUCGUAGGCGGCUUGUCACGUCGACUGUGAAAACCCGGGGCUCAACUCCGGGCCUGCAGUCGAUACGGGCUGGCUUGAGUGCGGUAGGGGAGACUGGAAUUCCUGGUGUAGCGGUGAAAAUGCGCAGAUAUCAGGAGGAACACCGGUGGCGAAGGCGGGUCUCUGGGCCGAUACUGACGUGAGGAGCGAAAGCGUGGGGAGCGAACAGG
rnacentral:rRNA from 1 species